rnacentral:rRNA from 1 species
GAUGAACGCUAGCUACAGGCUUAACACAUGCAAGUCGAGGGGCAGCAUGAACUUAGGGGGGCUUGCUAAGUUUGAUGGCGACCGGCGCACGGGUGAGUAACACGUAUCCAACCUUCCGUUUACUCAGGGAUAGCCUUUCGAAAGAAAGAUUAAUACCUGAUAGUAUGGUGAGAUUGCAUGAUAACACCAUUAAAGAUUUAUUGGUAAACGAUGGGGAUGCGUUCCAUUAGGUAGUAGGCGGGGUAACGGCCCACCUAGCCUGCGAUGGAUAGGGGUUCUGAGAGGAAGGUCCCCCACAUUGGAACUGAGACACGGUCCAAACUCCUACGGGAGGCAGCAGUGAGGAAUAUUGGUCAAUGGGCGAGAGCCUGAACCAGCCAAGUAGCGUGAAGGAUGAAGGUCCUACGGAUUGUAAACUUCUUUUAUACGGGAAUAAAGUUUCCUACGUGUAGGAUUUUGUAUGUACCGUAUGAAUAAGCAUCGGCUAACUCCGUG